CUUAGUGAGUAUAUAUGUAAUAUAAUGCAAAGAGCUGUUCUUUUAUGUACUACAAGGACGGUGAGAAAAUUCCAAGGAAGCGAAGGACAGGUCCAAGGAUCACGUGUAAGAGGACCAGAAGUUCGACGAGAACCAGGGGGACCACAAGGACCGGACACGACCGAGCUCUACCCUUCUGAUAUUUUAAAUAUCUGGGAUUGAGCGAAUGUUAAUUCCUCUUAGAGGAGAAAUCCUACGCGUAUAGGCAAAAGUCGGGGAAUAAUAUAAUAAUAAUAAAGUUUAUUCAUGAUUCAAUACAGUAACAUUUAUAAACAUGAUUACCACAGAGGUGAUAAUUCAUUGCUAAAAAAUUACCUGUACGUGGUACCUACAUUUAUUUGAACUCAAGACUGAUUCUGAUAUAAAUGAGCAAUUAUUUACAUACAAUCAAAUAUUUGUUUUUCUUGUGCAGUCUGCUAUAAUCAGAAUCCUGAUGCCAACAUGUGUAACCGUUUUCAAUCUGUCGUUUCAAGUUUUUGCUUUAAUAGUAAUAGAUCCUUGAAUAGUGAAAAUAGUGUCGUCAUCGUGCUUUUAGUCCCAAUCGGUGUCCAUCUAUUUCUAUGCCAAGGUAUCUCAUCGUAUGUGUUUCAGGGAUUUCUACAUCAUUCACAAUUAUAUUCUUCAGUGAGGGAAGUCUAGAGCUAUAUGAGGAGAAUGGCAUAUAUUUUGUUUUGUCGAGGUUUAAAGUUUCAAACGGCUUACGUUGGAGUUCUGCCAAAGAAUUGAACAUUCCAAUUCUAAAUCAAUCCUUCGAUUUCCUGGAUUUUUGUCGGUAAUCACAAAAAUAAUUUUUUUAGUGUCAAUCUCCAAAUGAAAUCUUUCCUUCUUUCAUAGUUAAGUGGUACAAUACGAUAUAUCUAAUUUGAUUCAAUUAUUUCAUUUAUUUCUGUUGACAAAUAUCAAUUUGUAUAAUUAUGUGCAAUAAAAAGUAUUUCAAAA